rnacentral:lncRNA from 1 species
GGACAUGAUAGCCUUCCAUGCGUUGUCCAUCCAGACAACAUACCAUAUGCUGGAAAAUCACUUAUUGUCCACAUUAGUACUGCCCGCAUUUGAAAGUUUUCUUUACACGAAACAUCGUAUGUUUCAACACCUUGAGCCCAUAGUUGUUGCAACUCAUAUAUUAGUGGCUGAAGAAACACAUCAAGUGAUCUCUUAGGAUGCUCUGGUCCGGGAACGAGAAUCGAGAGAAACAAAAACUCUCGUCGCAAGCACAAGUUUGGGGGUAGGUAGUAUGGUGUAAGAAUGACG